rnacentral:misc_RNA from 1 species
AUUCAAAAUGGCGGCGUUGUGACUGUCGACUGUCGGAAGUAAUCCUGAACAAACCUAGUGGGACUAUACAUGUGUAGAGUACUGAUUGAACGCGAUGUAAAAUGAGUGUCUUUCAGAGCAUCAAAGGGACGUUUGCAGCAGGGUUGAAGUCAAUCACAUCUCGUGACGGUGUUAAGGAGGAGAAGCUGGUGAGAACCGGAGUAAGCUUGGAUGCUGGAGCGGACCUACUGGACAGGUACCAGAACACAUGGAGGAAACUUCACCAGGAUGCAGAGCAGAAUGCUACACAAGCUCAGAAUGUGGAUAGCCAGAUUACACAGUUGUUUGUGACCUAUGACAGACAGUCAGAGAUACUGGGCCAGUUACACUUGGCUGUGGCUGAUCUCCCGGUUAUACUGCACAAACUACAGGAGCUCACGGAUGUACUAGCGUCUUUAGACGAGGAAUAUGACAAUGUAGAGGUAGCCUUGGUUCGUCUGGAGGACAUCUGUGAGGAACAGGAGCUCGCUCAGGCCAAGGUGUAUGACGGUCAGAAACUCGCCAGCUACACCCACAGAAAGAGUGAAGAACUCCAGAAAAUUAAAGUUGAGUUUGCCAAAGAUCAUGCCAAAAAGAUGGAGGGAUAUGAAAAACAUCGCCAGACAAAAUUGAAGGAAAGACAGGAAGUGUUUGAGCAGCAAUUUAACAACGACCUUGACUACUUCAAGUCACAUGGUCGUUUAGAAAGACUGUCCACGAGUAGUAAUGACAGCAGUAAGAAGACAGACCUGGCAGACAUCAGCUGGGAGAUGGAGAACACUAGCUUAGACGAAUUCCUGGAGACGGACACAGUAUCGGGGGAAAGUCACCCACAAACUCCAGGCAAUGAUGAUGCUGAAUUUGAAGAUGAGGUGGAAGAGAUUUCUGAAGAGGAAGAAGAGGAAGAAGACAGUGAGGAGGAGGAAAGAAUAGAUGUGACAUUGCCUCGCAAGGAAAAUAAGCUUAGUGAAUCUGUGGACAAAACAGGAGGAGGGGAGACAACUCUGUCUGGCGAUAAUGUGGAGAGAGACACAGACGCUACGUCAGAACAGACUACUAAAAGUAGUUCAGAGGUUAAUGGGUCAGACGAGACUCGCUCGCCUGCCAAAUCAGCUGAUACAGAUACAAACGGGGUCUAGUACAGAAUACAGAUAAAGUUCAUGUACAACUUAAAGGACUAACAAAACAAUGUUCUUACCUACCAGUACCCUGAAGAUUUCAUGGCCGAUCCCAGUUCUUCAUCUACAGUGCAAGAAUAUUAUAUAAAUACUACUUUCCUUGUUUCUAUAUGUUGCCAUUGUCCAAGCCUCUUAAUCAUAACUAUGAACAACCAAUUAUGAAAACAUGUAUCAAGAACUGUCCUUUCUAAACGUGUCUGAUUCUUCAUACUGUUAAUCACAUGAAAUUUAAUCUGGGAGGGAAAUACUAGAAUGCUGAUUCGAUUGAUGUUUAUUGCCUAACGAAAAUGGUUACAAUAGAAAACAGGAUCUUGUUCUUGCAGAAAUGGCUGUUUCACCAUUUGGUUUCAAUUUAUUUAAAGUGUGCAAUGUACCAAAAUAAACCUCAUAAACUGGACCUAAAGUAAGGUCCCACUGUAUAUGUUUUCAUGAGAAUUGGUCCCGGUUGAUCUGGGAUUUAAAUCCAUAUUGAUAAGAAAGGGUGUAACUGUGUGAUGUAUAGUGUUUUAAUGUUGAGGGGCCAGACUUUCAUGGGUUUUUUUCUAGGAUUUAAAAUCCGUACCACAGAACCAUUAUUUUUUAUUUAUUAAUUUUCAUGUGAACAAUUUCAUUAAGACAAGCGACUAAACCUUACAUUUCAUAACAAUUCAUUACAUUACAAUACAAUAUAGGAUUAUAUACAUGCUUCAAUUCAACAUGAACACUGCUAAACUUGGGAACAUCAGAAAAUGCACUCUGCACCGAUAAACAUUUUUUAAAGAUAUAUAUUUAUUAACAUACCCUCACAUACGGUCAUACCUCCACCUCCAUCGGUGGUUUAAUCAAAUCUAAACAAUAGUUUCAGGAAAAAAUAUGCAAGAAAGAACCAUAAAUUGAUAAUUAAUUCUCUAUCACCAUGGCAACAGAUUGAUACAAUUAAUUCUCUAUCACCAUGGCAACAGAUUGAUACAAUUAAUUCUCUAUCACCAUGGCAACAGAUUGGCAGGGUUUCACAUUCCCUGCCCACUUUGUUUUGUAGGUAUGAAAUACAAUAGAUUGAAGUGCUGUACUUUGAAAUAUGAGAUUACAGGAGAUUGUUGGUAGGUGUGUAAUUUAAUAGGAAAGGUAAUGGACGCAGGCAUUUGAUGCCUCUAUAUCCAUAUCUUAUAAUAAUACAACGUACAUAUAAUAUUAUGUCUCUUCCAGAUGUCUGUUUGUAACUAUAGCCAAAUGAUUAUAUUUAAGCUCUUGGUUUUACCAAUGUUUGUCUAAAUUGAUUUCAAAGUCUCUAAUAAUUGUUGAAUUUAUGACAUAUUCGGGAAGACUGUUCCAAAUAUUGAUAGUUCUGAAACCAAAUGAAUGAAUAUUUCUUACAUCUAGUCUACAGUGUUUUUUCUUCAAUUUCUGUGAGUGCCUUCUCUUUCUUGAUGACGUUUCACAGAUAAAAAUUCCAGAUGUUACUUUUUCAUCGUAGAACUUGUUCAUAAUCUUGUACCCAUUGAUUGUAUCUCCUCUCAGUCUAGGGUAUGUGAGGAAUGGAAAUCCUAAUCUUUCAGACAACCACUGUUUGGUAGGUCCUUUAGCCCAGGUAUCAGUUUCUGUAUCUCCUCUCAGUCUACGGUAUGUGAGGGGAGGGAAUCCCAAUCUAUCAGACAACCACCGUAUGGUAGGUCCUUCAGCCCAGGUAUCAGUUUCUGUAUCUCCUCUCAGUCUACAGUAUGUGAGGGAAGGAAUACUAAUCUUUCAGACAACCACUGUAUAGUAGGUCCUUCAGCCCAGGUAUCGGUUUCUGUAUCUCCUCUCAGUCUACGGUAUGUGAGGGAAUGGAAAUCCUAAUCUUUCAGACAACCACUGUAUGGUAGGUCCUUCAGCCCAGGUAUCAGUUUCUGUAUCUCCUCUCAGUCUACGGUAUGUGAGGGAAUGGAAAUCCUAAUCUUUCAGACAACCACUGUAUGGUAGGUCCUUCAGCCCAGGUAUCAGUUUCUGUAUCUCCUCUCAGUCUACGGUAUGUGAGGGAAUGGAAAUCCUAAUCUUUCAGACAACCACUGUAUGGUAGGUCCUUCAGCCCAGGUAUCAGUUUCGUUGCUCGACUUUCACGAUUGAUUCUAUGUCUUGUUUUGUGUGGAUUCCACACACUUGUAAUGAUAUAGUAUUUAACCUGUGUCCGGUAGCCAUACAAGUGGACCAGGCUACAUCAGAUUGUUAUUAUGAAUACAUUGAAAUAUUCUGCCACGGGACCAUAGCUAUGAUUAAAGGAUACACGUAUGCA